rnacentral:rRNA from 1 species
ACGAAGGGGGCGAGCGUUGUUCGGAAUUACUGGGCGUAAAGGGCGCGUAGGCGGCGACCCAAGUCAGAUGUGAAAGUCCUGGGCUUAACCUGGGGACUGCAUUUGAUACUGCAGUGCUUGAGGACUGGAGAGGAGACUGGAAUUCAUGGUGUAGCAGUGAAAUGCGUAGAGAUCAUGAGGAAGACCAGUGGCGAAGGCGGGUCUCUGGACAGUUCCUGACACUGAGGCACGAAGGCCAGGGGAGCAAACGGGA